CCUCUCUCUCUCUCUCUCUCUCUCUCUUUUUCUCUAGGGUUUCCAUGAGACCUCCAUUUCACGUCCUUUCACCUUCCUCUUUGAUCCACGCUCUCGCCACCACCGCCUGCGCAAGCGAUUAGCCCCAACACGAGGACUCAUUGGAGACUUCACUCGCUCGGUUCCGCUCCCCUUUCAGCUGAUGGCCAAGACAAAGCCAGGCAAGAAGGACCUCGAUUCCUACACCAUCAGGGGCACCAACAAGGUCGUCGAAGUCGGCAACUGCGUGUUGAUGCGGCCAUCGGAGUCGGACAAGCCGCCGUACGUGGCGAGAGUGGAGAAGAUCGAGGCCGAUCACCGUAAUAACGUGAGGGUGAAGGUUCGGUGGUACUACCGACCCGAGGAGUCCAUGGGUGGCCGCCGGCAGUUCCAUGGCGCCAAGGAGCUGUUCCUCUCUGACCACUAUGACGUGCAGAGUGCGCACACCAUCGAGGGCAAGUGUGUUGUCCACACCUUCAAAAACUACACCAAGUUGGAGAAUGUGGGCGCUGAGGAUUACUUCUGCCGCUUCGAGUACAAGGCUGCCACUGGGGCCUUCACGCCUGAUCGCGUAGCAGUGUACUGCAAGUGUGAGAUGCCUUACAACCCGGAUGAUCUGAUGGUCCAGUGUGACGGAUGCAAGGAUUGGCAAACGUUGAUCAGAUAGCAAGCUUUGAAUUCUUCUCAUUCUGCUAGAUCUGAACAGCAGCAAAAGGUAGUGUGGAUCAUCAAUUCCUAAUUGUUUUCCCUUCCUGAUUUCAUCCAAGUAAACAUUGGAUAAAUGAAGUCCUGUCAAUAUCUUCCUUUUUCACGUUACCUUCAUUCACACCAGAUAAACACACUAUAAUAUGAAAAAAUGUUGGAGAAAAAGGUGAAUCGGCCACCUUGCUCAAUGUUUUUUAAAAAAUAAUUGUUAUAUUUAGGCAUUUUGUAUAAUAAGGCCUUGUCAGGGCAAUUGCUCAAUAUUCAAAGUUGGUGGAGUAGCUAGCACAGUUGUGCUACUACUAGAAGUCUAGAAUGAUGUCGGUUGGUAGAGCAUAUCAAUCAACAUGACUAAUUCUAGAAGUCUAGAAUGAUGUCAGAUGGUAAUCAGUCAACAUGUUGGAGGAAUACGAUGCUUCACCUCCAUACUUUUGCAUGCUUUACUUUAGCCCAGUUACUGCUCACUGUGCAUCCUUUAAGGUCUCACUGUAUUGCCCUUUUCUAAUAUCUGUUCAUAGAGUUGUUUUAUUGAAAAAAAUGAUGAUAAUCCCUUGCAUAAAGGUACUUCUCAAAGCAUGGGUGUGAAUUUCUUGGUAGACUAUGUGAAACUUAAAUCCCGUGUCUCAAAGGCUCUAAACAAUAAUAUGGAAACUUUAUUAUAAUACUAAAAAUGGUUGGUUGAGAAAAAAACAUGGUUCCGUCACGUUAGCUGCCCCUUACGACUAUCCCACGCCAUUGAGAGGGAACCCAAAUUGACAAGUGCAUGAACGGGUCCGCAGAGAUGAUGAAAUCCCUUGUUGAGUUUCGACUACAGUCAUUAUCCCAUACACUUACCAAUUGAACCAGCCCUCGGGGCCAAAAAAACAAAACAAAAAAAAGGUUAGUUGAAAGCUAGAAUGUGUUGUUGUUGGCUACAGAUAUGUAAGGUUAUUCCCACCUAUCAAUUGAUCUGUCUUUUAGCCACCAACUCAUGCAAGGUUAUUCCCCUCGAGAGCCUGAGUUUCCCACUGCAUAUGUUAAAAUCUAAUUGCUUUAUUUGUUAUCUUCAGUCACUGUAUAAUUUACUUGCCAAGGUUCAAAUUCUUGGACACUGUCAAUGCAGGAAUAUUACUGCAGCUUUUAUCAUUUCACAGGCGCUCUUUCUUUCAUUUUAUGCAAAAUAUUUUCUCUGUAUCAUUUAUUCAUAAAUUCUGUUAAUGUGUCCUGUUUGGGCAAACAUUUAUAUGUUUAUUAAUGCAGAGUCAGUUUGGCUAUGAACCUCGUAUCACUGCAAGAGUUCAUUUAUGUUUGUGAUAAUUGUAAUAUUAAAAUUGAUAAAUAUAAGUUUGUGUUUGGAAGUGAAUGAUUAAUACAAAGCUUUUGGUUUGUGUAUUGAUAAAACUGUGGCCAAAAGUGGAUGAUGUUUUUGUUCGUACAUGAGCAGCAAUUCAGCAAAGCUGACUGAUUUGGAAUGGAGAUUGCUAUCUAAAUGAAUUUUAUACCUUCAGGAGAUUUAUGUUUACCUUAUUCCAUGAUGUGCUUCCAGUUAAUGUGAUCUGGAGUAAUGGUUUCAUCCUUUGCUGUGUUUUUGCAUGUGAUGAAGCUAAGUCCUAUUAGUCAUUGUAUCUCUUUAACCAUCUGUUAUUGGGAUUAACCACUUGUAUUAGUGACCAGGGGUUAUUCUCUACUUAGUUUCUCUGUCGUUCUGCACUAUAUACUGGGGUAAAUAAAUCAUUUAUGCAAAUAGGUUCCAUCCACCUUGCAUGGGCAUGGCAAUUGAACAAGCAAAAAAGUUGGAACACUUUCUAUGCGCUGACUGUGACACUGAAAAUGAUGCAAAAAGAUCUGCAAAUGGAUUCCCAGCUUCACCCGUCUCUGAACCCAAGGCUGAACCUAAAAGGAGGAAGAGGUAAUUGCCAUUGCUGUUGCUUCAGCUUUCGAGGGGGCAGUUCACCUGCAUUUUAUGAAAAAUCUACUCAUCUUGAUGGUAGUUUGAGAUUGUACAGUGCAGAGAAUAGACUAUUUGAAAGGAAACCAUUACAAUAUUGUGAACUUGUGAAACUGUAAGCUGGUAAGAAAUGCAAUGAAAAAAGAAAUCAGAUGUGGGUGUUAUCGCCCUCCUCA